rnacentral:tRNA from 1 species
GCCGGAGUGGCGGAACUGGCAGACGCACAGGACUUAAAAUCCUGCGAUCUUUACCGAUUGUACCGGUUCGAUUCCGGUCUCCGGCACCA